CUGAAUUACAAUAUUUUUGGAAAACAGGGGAUAACAAUGUCUGAGCUCUAUUACUUGUUAUCAUGGUUGGGGUGAUAACGAUGUCUUAGCUCUAUUUAAUAAAUACUGGUAAUUUUAUCCCUCUAUAGAAGGAUGAUCCUUCUAUAAAGGUAUAAACAACAUGCAAAGGGUUUGUUCCCAACCUGAAAAAUGCACAUCAAAUUCUAGGUAAGUUUUCAUGUUCUGUUCAUGUCCGUGACAUUGGACAAUAGGUAUUUUCACA
rnacentral:lncRNA from 1 species